CACGUUAUAGGUGGGCACUCUAAGGAGACUGCCGGUGACAAACCGGAGGGAAGGUGGGGAUGACGUCAAGUCAUCAUGGCCCUUACGGCCUGGGCUACACACGUGCUACAAUGGUCGGUACAAAGGGUUGCCAAGCCGCGAGGUGGAGCUAAUCCCAUAAAACCGAUCGUAGUCCGGAUCGCAGUCUGCAACUCGACUGCGUGAAGUCGGAAUCGCUAGUAAUCGUGAAUCAGAAUGUCACGGUGAAUACGUUCCCGGGCCUU
rnacentral:rRNA from 1 species